CCGUAGCCCAAGAGAUCGGGAUAACACCUGGAAACAGAUGCUAAUACCGGAUAACAACAGAUGAUGCCUAUCAACUGUUUAAAAGAUGGUUCUGCUAUCACUCUUGGAUGGACCUGCGGUGCAUUAGCUAGUUGGUAGGGUAACGGCCUACUAAGGCGAUGAUGCAUAGCCGAGUUGAGAGACUGAUCGGCCACAUUGGGACUGAGACACGGCCCAAACUCCUACGGGAGGCAGCAGUC
rnacentral:rRNA from 1 species